rnacentral:rRNA from 1 species
AGUGAACGCUGGCGGUAGGCCUAACACAUGCAAGUCGAACGGCAGCACAGUAAGAGCUUGCUCUUACGGGUGGCGAGUGGCGGACGGGUGAGGAAUACAUCGGAAUCUACUUUUUCGUGGGGGAUAACGUAGGGAAACUUACGCUAAUACCGCAUACGACCUACGGGUGAAAGCAGGGGAUCUUCGGACCUUGCGCGAUUGAAUGAGCCGAUGUCGGAUUAGCUAGUUGGCGGGGUAAAGGCCCACCAAGGCGACGAUCCGUAGCUGGUCUGAGAGGAUGAUCUGCCACACUGGGACUGAGACACGGCCCAGACUCCUACGGGAGGCAGCAGUGGGGAAUUUUGGACAAUGGGGGCAAGCCUGAUCCAGCCAUGCCGCGUGCGGGAAGAAGGCCUUCGGGUUGUAAAGCGCUUUUGUUGGGGAAGAAAACCUCUGGGCUAAUACCCCGGGGGGAUGACGGUACCGGAAGAAUAAGCACCGGCUAACUACGUG